AAUGCUGAAUUAGCAUUAUAAGCACCACCAUCUUUGUUCCCUGGAUCUGGAGUUUCUUAUGUGUGUCACUGACACUGGCAUUCCUGCCAUAUUUAUGAAGAUAAGUUACAGUAUUGUUUAUCUGCAUAAUACCAGUCUGCUUGAUCAGCACUUAAUUAUGGUACCAAUCUUCUACAUUUUUCUGAGUGCUGCCAGCUUCAACACUUCUUCAGGGAGUCUGUCUUUCUCUCCUGAGUCACCAGAAUUACCUCUUCUGCUUCUCCAACCAGACACUGUGGGUAGUGAGAAGGAAAGGAGAACAGAACAAGAAGGGUGUUUGCACUGACAUGUGGAAUGUGGAUGACCUAGAUAGGACGCAACUGCAAGAAGCUGAGGCAAGAGGUUGAAAGUCCUGGUGAUAACCUUAGGAGAAGCAUGUAAGACAGGAAUAUGCACGAGCAGUUGGACAGGUAAGGGAUUUAUGGCUGAUAGAGCCAUACAGUGGAGAAGCAGUGGAGCACCCUAGUGCUGCACAGGUUAUAAAUAACUGUGGUCUUCAGGGAUAAGGUCAGUGUUACUGCACUGGCUUGUCUUACAG